CUAAGUUCUGGAGUGAUGUUGGGGAUGUUACGGCUGCUCUCAAUGAUGCUCAGCAGGCAGUUGUGGACCUCAACGCUAGUCGGACGGACUCUGAAACAAUCCGCCAGAGCCUUGAAACCAUGCAGACUGUCAAGGAGGAUAUUGACAGUUUACAGGGAGAUCUGGACAUACUUGGCGUUGUGGGAAUGGACCUCAUGUCAGCAUGUGGAGAUACGGACAAACCAGAUGUCACCAAGAGCCUGGAUGAACUCUACUGCAUGUGGAACAACUUGAGCAAACUGUGGAACGAAUGUCACAAAAAGCUGGAAGAC